rnacentral:rRNA from 1 species
AUACGUAGGGUGCAAGCGUUAAUCGGAAUUACUGGGCGUAAAGCGUGCGCAGGCGGUUUUGUAAGACAGUGGUGAAAUCCCCGGGCUCAACCUGGGAACUGCCAUUGUGACUGCAAGGCUGGAGUGCGGCAGAGGGGGAUGGAAUUCCGCGUGUAGCAGUGAAAUGCGUAGAUAUGCGGAGGAACACCGAUGGCGAAGGCAAUCCCCUGGGCCUGCACUGACGCUCAUGCACGAAAGCGUGGGGAGUAAACAGGAUUAGAUACCCUGGUAGUCCACGCCCUAAACGAUGUCAACUGGUUGUUGGGGAUUUAUUUUCUCAGUAACGAAGCUAACGCGUGAAGUUGACCGCCUGGGGAGUACGGCCGCAAGGUUAAAACUCAAAUGAAUUGACGGGG